UACGAAGGGGGCGAGCGUUGUUCGGAAUUACUGGGCGUAAAGCGUGCGCAGGCGGUUUUGUAAGUCAGAUGUGAAAUCCCCGGGCUCAACCUGGGAACUGCGUUUGAAACUACAAGGCUAGAGUGUAGCAGAGGGGGGUAGAAUUCCACGUGUAGCAGUGAAAUGCGUAGAGAUGUGGAGGAAUACCAAUGGCGAAGGCAGCCCCCUGGGUUA
rnacentral:rRNA from 1 species